CUCUGUCCUUCCAAACUUCUCGCGGAGUUUGAGGGACCAAAGUGCAUCCCGCGGCUUUGGCUGGCGUUCAACUCUUGGGACUCAACUCCCGGGUUGGAGCCUAGCCUGCCCACCGGGUGGAGGCGUGUGGGGAGCUGACUGCUGACUCAUCCCCUUUCGUCGCCGACCGAUACCAACCU
rnacentral:misc_RNA from 1 species